rnacentral:rRNA from 1 species
UACGUAGGGUCCGAGCGUUGUCCGGAGUUACUGGGCGUAAAGCGCGCGCAGGCGGCGGUGCUGGCCCGGCGUGAAAGCCCCCGGCUUAACCGGGGAGGGUCGUUGGGGACGGCGGGGCUUGAGGGCGGGAGAGGUCGGUGGAAUUCCCGGUGUAGUGGUGAAAUGCGUAGAGAUCGGGAGGAACACCUGUGGCGAAGGCGGCCGACUGGGCCGACCCUGACGCUGAGGCGCGAAGGCGUGGGGAGCGAACGGG